CUUGGUCAUUUAGAGGAAGUAAAAGUCGUAACAAGGUUUCCGUAGGUGAACCUGCGGAAGGAUCAUUAACGAGUUAUUGAACAGGUUGUAGCUGGCCUUCAGGGGCAUGUGCACGCCUGGCUCAUCCACUCUUCAACCUCUGUGCACUUGUUGUAGGUCGGUGGAAGGGUAAGUCUAAGUGAUUAGACUUGCUUGGAAGUCUUCCUAUGUUUUUACAAACGCUUCAGUUUAAGAAUGUAUCUCUGCGUAUAACGCAUUUAUAUACAACUUUCAGCAACGGAUCUCUUGGCUCUCGCAUCGAUGAAGAACGCAGCGAAAUGCGAUAAGUAAUGUGAAUUGCAGAAUUCAGUGAAUCAUCGAAUCUUUGAACGCACCUUGCGCUCCCUGGUAUUCCGGGGAGCAUGCCUGUUUGAGUGUCAUGGUAUUCUCAACCUUCAUAACUUUUGUUAUCGAAGGCUUGGAUUUGGAGGUUGUGCUGGCUUCUCGUCAAGUCGGCUCCUCUUAAAAGCAUUAGCGUGAGUGUAACGGAUCGCUUCGGUGUGAUAAUUAUCUGCGCCGUGGUCGUGAAGUAACAUAAGCUUGCGCUUCUAACCGUCCUUCGGCUGGACAAUUUACUCUGACAUCUGACCUCAAAUCAGGUAGGACUACCCGCUGAACUUAAGCAUAUCAAUAAGCGGAGGAAAAGAAACUAACAAGGAUUCCCCUAGUAACUGCGAGUGAAGCGGGAAAAGCUCAAAUUUAAAAUCUGAUAGUCUUUGGCUGUCCGAGUUGUAAUCUGGAGAAGCGUCUUCCGCGCUGGACCGUGUACAAGUCUCCUGGAACGGAGCGUCAUAGAGGGUGAGAAUCCCGUCUUUGACACGGACUACCAGUGCUUUGUGAUGCGCUCUCAAAGAGUCGAGUUGUUUGGGAAUGCAGCUCAAAAUGGGUGGUAAACUCCAUCUAAAGCUAAAUAUUGGCGAGAGACCGAUAGCGAACAAGUACCGUGAGGGAAAGAUGAAAAGCACUUUGGAAAGAGAGUUAAACAGUACGUGAAAUUGCUGAAAGGGAAACGCUUGAAGU
rnacentral:rRNA from 1 species